rnacentral:lncRNA from 1 species
AGACCAAAGAUCCCGCCGGGGAUGGAGCCGCUGCCUCCUCUUGCCUUUGCACCUCGGUGGCUGGGGUGACUCGUUCUCCCCGGCGGCCUCUUGAGGAUGAGGUGCAGUCUCUUCCCAGGCUCCACGAGUUUUCGGGGCUCAAAGAAACACCAGCAGCGUCCCGGGAGGAGAAAGAGGGUCCCCCGUCCUUUGGGGCCGCGCGGGACCCGGCUGCGGGGGCUGGACUCCCCGCUACCCAUUUCCGAAAAGUCGCCGCAGAUUUUCGGCCACCAGAAGCCGCCUAGUGCAAGGGAGGACACACAGCUGAAGACCCAGCAGGGUGGGAGAUUUCACACGGACUUCUCCAGCUGGACUGUGAGGAGAAACCACACCCUGGAUGUCUGCUGAAGGAAGAAUGAAAAGGUAGUUUAUUUCCCUGGUUCCCUGAUGUCCCCAUUUUUCAUGAGUCAAAUUCUCCCUUUUGGGGAGCUUUCUUUCGAUUUGGGUUGAUCUGAGUCCAGGCUUUUUAGGAUGCUAAAUUCCAUACUUGGUGGGCUGGUGUUUCACCCAGGACUGAAAGUGGCAUUCUCUCCCAACAAGAAGAAAUGAGGGUACUCGAGGGCAUCUAAGAUGAUGCAUAAUUUUAUAUUUUCAAACUCAUUUACUGGUUUUGCCACUCAGAUCUACUCAAACCUUCCCAGUGUAUUCAGCUCCCAACCACAAUGUUUCUUUCUUGGGAACAAAGUGGUCCUCAAUCUUUGCCUGUCAGAAGUAGUUCAGGUCUAACUAGCCCCAGAUUCUUCAAGGCAGCUCAUCAUGAUUUCCAAGUAGAAGAAAGCAAGAGUUAAAUCAAGUAACAUUCCCCAGCUCUGGCUGCUUUCAAGGCAGUCAAACAGUUCCUUGAUGCUGCCACCAGGUGGAGCCAUUGAACCAAGUCGGAUUCCUCAUGCCCUGAGUAGGGAUGGUGGAUACAUAGUGUAAGUUACAACUGCCAUAAGAAAACUUUGAACAGUGUUUCCAAAUAAAAGGUAUACUAAUUAACAAAGUGUUCUUAAGAAAGUACCUACUUAGAAAAUCUUUAGAUUUUUGUGUUGGGGUGAUUUGGAAACAAAAUAUAUUUUAUUGAGAACAAAUUAUUUCUUUUCAUAUCAUUUCAACAACACUUCUUAAAAGAUUAUGUGCCCUUCCCUGUGCUGGACUCUGAAGCUACAAGGACAAGUAAGAUGCAAAGGCAGUCAUAAGCCAGUAGAGAAGAAAACACACACAAAUAUAAAUAUUUUGUCUUUUUAGGGCCUCACCCGCAGCACAUGGAGGUUCCCAUGCUAUGGGUUGAAUUGGAGCUAUAGCUACUGCCACUUAAUUGACAAGACUAGUGCUGUCUAAUGGAACUUUCUGAGAUGGUGAAGAUAUUCUGCAUCUGCACCAUGUGAGACUGUGGCCACUAGCCAUAUGUGGCCAGUGAGUGCUUGAAAUGUGGGUAGUGUGAUAGAGGAACUAGAUUUUAAAUUCUGUUUAGGUCAGAUUUAAAUAGUUGCGUGUGGCUAGUGGCUACUAUACUGGGCAGCCAGAUCUGGUUAGGAGCUAUUACCUUGUGGAAGAGAGAGAUUAUGUUAGAAAAAUCAGCAGAGACUUUCGUGCCUCUGUGUGUGGGGGGGACCAGGGUACCGAGGAAUGGUAACUGGAAGAAAGGUACAGGCUAGAUAGCACAUAGGAGGGUGAGGUCCCUGGCAGGGAGGGGGCUGUGGUGUUUGGUGGCAGGGGAGUGGGGGCUGUCACUGUGAUUGGAGGUGAGACUUCUGACCCAGCAUCUGGAGCCUUGUCGGUGCCUAAUUAUGUCCAGUCCCCAUUCAAGUUUGCUCACACUUUGCCUGUGCAGAGAUACUGUGAUGACAGGUCUGUCUCUUGUGAGCCCACUGACAGCCAGCUUGUCCCCCUUGACUGUCCAGCUGCAGAGCCAUUGUUCUGUGCCCUCAUAUUUUGCUUAGCAACAAUCUGACCCACCCCCAUGUGGACAAUAUAAUAAACAACAUAUGACAUGGAUGACAAAAGCCAACCUUACUACUUAAAAUAUGAGUGCAAAUUUAAACAUUUAAAUUAAAACUUAAAAACAUUAGACUUGGAGUUCCCAUCAUGGCAUAGCAGAAAUGAAUCCACCUAGGAGCCACGAGGUUGCGGGUUCGAUCCCCAGACUCCCUCAGUGGGUUAAGGAUCUGGCAUUGCCCUGAGCUGUGUUGUAGGUCACAGACAUGGCUCGGAUAUCGGAUGUGGUGUAGGCUGGCACCUGUAGCUCCGAUUAGACCCUUAACUUGGGAACCUCCAUAUGCCGUGGGUGCUGCUCUGAAAUGACGACAGACCAAAAAAGAAAAACCUCAAAAAACAUUAGACUUGAGUUUUUUUUUAUUUAUUACCCUUAGGACAAUCCCUUGUGUUAAGUGGGCUUUGGUUUCCCCCUCUGUGAUCUGUUUCUAGUUUCCCUGGGUAGAUUUCUUUGCUUUAUAAAAUUCUAAAAUGAACACAAGUUGAAACAUACCAGGUCCCCUUUCCUGCAGGCCCUUUGCUACGGAGCUGGUCGGGUGACUAAUGCUUCUGCUUCCUGUUAUUGUCUGAAAAGGGUAUGUGAAAUCUUGGCUUUUAGCCAUUAUUCAGAGACCGGUUAAGUGCACACGUCCCUGGAAAUCCCCAAGUGAAACUGCAGUGAAGGGACUUAAUAUGUUACAAGUGGAAGAGGUGGUCAGUUCCUGAGAGGGAGACUUGCGGCCUGGGAAUUCAUUUCUCCCAGGAAGCUACCUUCCAAGUGCCCACCUUCACCUGAGGACAGUCCUCCAGUCAGUCACGUGCCCUCUGUACAUUCACUCAUGUCGCAAACACUUAUCGAGCACCUACUUGGUGCUGGGUGUGUAGGAUUUCACAGUUUAAUAUUUCUCUGCCCUCAUGGAGCUUGUAUGCCAGCAGGGGAGAAAGAACAAUAAGUAAAUACAUCUGUAAUAUGUCAGGAAAAGGAAGAAGGAGUUUAAAACAUGUAAAUGUGAUGGACGGCAAGGAGACCUCAGAAAUGGGUGGUGAUUUAAGAGAGGAGUCAGGAAGGAAUUCUCUUGUGCUACAGUAGGUUGAGGAUCUGGAAUGGUCACUGUAGCGGCUCGGGUUGCUGCUGUGGUGUGGAUUUGAUCCUGGCCCAGGAACUUCUACCUCUGCAGGUGCUGUCAAAAAGAGUCAGGAAACGUCUCUCUGGGAAGGUGAGGUUUGAGCAGACUGGAAUGAUGGGAGAGUAUGAAACCUGUGAGUGUCUGGGGAGAAGGAUGUUCCAUACAGAAUGACCAACCAACACAAGAGUGAGCUUGGCCCAUUCUAGGAAAAUCACGCAGGACAAUUGGACCAAACUGAAGAGAAUGAGGCAGGGAGUGAAAGGAGAUGCAACUGGAGAGGUGGGUACGAGCUGGACGUCUUAGACCUUACGGGAUCUGGUAAGGAGUUCGGGUUUUUUCCCAAGUCUUAUGAGAGGCUGUUGAAGCAGGGAUGAGACAGAUCUGAUUUAUGCUUUAGGAGGAGCAUUCUGGUUGCUAUCUGGAAACCCUGAUCACUGAGGAACUGAGGAGUGAAGAAGGAAUUGGGGAGUCCAAGUGCAAGACUGUUGCAGGGAUGUAGGUGAGUAGUGGUGGUUGCUUUGGUCUAGGUGGUAGCAGUGGAAAUGGUGAAAGGUAGUGGGUUUGAAAUAAAUUUGGAAUCCAGUUGGGUGAAUUGGAUAUGGGUUGUAAAGAGAAGAGUAAAAGUCUUCUAUGUUUUAUUUUUAUUAUUGUUUUCUUUUUUAGCCACCCCGUGGCAUAUGGAGUUCCUGGCCAGGGAUCAGAUCUGAGUCACCUUUGCAACCUACACCAUGGCUGCGGCAAUGCUGGAUCCUUAACCCACUGUGCCGGGCCAGGGAUCAAACCUGUGUCCCAGUGCUGCAGAGACACUGCCAAUCCCAUUGCAGUGGGAACUCCAGAAAAAGUGUCCUGUGUUUUGAGUCUGAUAAACCAGGUGAAUAUUUACAGGAACGAGGAAGGCUGGAGGGAGGGCUGACGAGGGUGAGGGGUUCACCAAGCAUAGAUGGCUAGAGAUGAUGGGAAUUGAGGGGACAGGUCAGGGAUCAAGAUGUGGAGUUGAGAUUCUUAAGUGUCUAGAUGUAUUUAAAGGCCUGGAUUUGAGUAAGAUCAUCCUUAGGGAGAAAAGUAGAUACAUGAGAGAGUUGAAGACUGAGCCCUGAGAUGUUGGAAGGAGGAGGAAGGGUCAUCCAUAGAGAUGGGGAAGAGACUUGCAGUGAUCUCUGGAGAGUUUUCAAGGAAGGGGUUUGAUUGCUUCAGUAAUACUUCAGUGAUGAUGGAGACCACUGGUGUCUGGACAAAAUCAAGUUCAGGGGCAUAGUAGGGGUGAGCACUUGAUCGGUGUGAAUUGAAACCACAAUGAGAAGUAAGGAAAUGAAGAUAUAAGUAUAAAUAAUUCUUUUUUUCCGGAAGAUUUCAUGUUUUUUUUCUUUCUAAAUUUAAAGUGUAGGUGAUCUAUAAUGUGCCAAUUUCUGCUGUACAGCAAAGUGACCCAGUCAUACAUGUAUGUACUUUCCUUUUCUUAAAAAAUAUGGAAUACUUCACAAAUGUUAUCCCCAUGCUGGGGCCAUGCUAAUCUCUGUAUCGUUCUAAUUUAAGUCUGUGUGCUGCCCAUGGGAGCGUCUAGACAGUUCUAUUUAGAAGUUUUACUAUAGGGGAGUUCCCGUCAUGGCUCAGUGGUUAACAAAUCUGACUAGGAAACAUGAGGUUGUGGGUUUGAUCCCUGGCCGCACCCAGUGGGUUAAGGAUCUGGCGCUGCCAUGAGCUGUGGUGUAGGUCACAGAUUGUGGCUCUGAUCUGGUGUUGCUGUGGCUCUGGCAUAGGCUGGUGGCUACAGCUCCAAUUAGACCCCUAGCCUAGGAACCUCCAUAUGCUGCGGGUACAGCUGUAGAAAAGACAGAGACAAAAAAGAAAAAAAAAAA